rnacentral:rRNA from 1 species
AUAUCAAUAAGCGGAGGAAAAGAAACUAACAAGGAUUCCCCUAGUAACGGCGAGUGAAGCGGCAACAGCUCAAAUUUGAAAUCUGGCUCUUUCAGGGUCCGAGUUGUAAUUUGUAGAAGAUGCUUUGGGUGUGGCUCCGGUCUAAGUUCCUUGGAACAGGACGUCAUAGAGGGUGAGAAUCCCGUACGUGACUGGGUGCCUUCGCUCGUGUAAAGCUCUUUCGACGAGUCGAGUUGUUUGGGAAUGCAGCUCAAAAUGGGUGGUGAACUCCAUCUAAAGCUAAAUAUUGGCGAGAGACCGAUAGCGCACAAGUA